CCUACGGGAGGCAGCAGUGGGGAAUAUUGCACAAUGGGCGCAAGCCUGAUGCAGCGACGCCGCGUGAGGGAUGACGGCCUUCGGGUUGUAAACCUCUUUCAGCAGGGACGAAGCGCAAGUGACGGUACCUGCAGAAGAAGCACCGGCCAACUACGUGCCAGCAGCCGCGGUAAUACGUAGGGUGCAAGCGUUGUCCGGAAUUACUGGGCGUAAAGAGCUCGUAGGCGGUUUGUCGCGUCGUCUGUGAAAACCAGCAGCUCAACUGUUGGCUUGCAGGCGAUACGGGCAGACUUGAGUAUUUCAGGGGAGACUGGAAUUCCUGGUGUAGCGGUGAAAUGCGCAGAUAUCAGGAGGAACACCGGUGGCGAAGGCGGGUCUCUGGGCAAUAACUGACGCUGAGGAGCGAAAGCGUGGGUAGCGAACAGGAUUAGAUACCCUGGUAGUCCACGCCGUAAACGGUGGGCGCUAGGUGUGGGUCUCCUUCCACGGGAUCCGUGCCGUAGCUAACGCAUUAGCGCCCGCUGGGGAGUACGGCCGCAAGGCUAAAACUCAAAUGAAUUGACGGCUGAGACGNGCCGAGACGACGACGAGGGAGGAGG
rnacentral:rRNA from 1 species